rnacentral:tRNA from 1 species
GGCUCCAUAGUUUAUCGGAAAGAAUACCGGACUUUCACUCCGGUGGGAGGGGUUCAACUCCCCUUGGAGCUA